UACGUAGGCAGCGAGCGUUGUUCGGAGUUACUGGGCGUAAAGAGUGCGUAGGCGGUUUUCUAAGUUUGGUGUGAAAUCUCCAGGCUCAACUGGGAGGGUGCGCCGAAGACUGGAAGGCUUGAGUAUGGGAGAGGUAAGCGGAAUUCCUGGUGUAGCGGUGAAAUGCGUAGAUAUCAGGAGGAACACCUGCGGUGUAGACGGCUUACUGGACCAUAACUGACGCUGAGGCACGAAAGCGUGGGUAGCAAACAGG
rnacentral:rRNA from 1 species